AUUGAACGCUGGCGGCAUGCCUUACACAUGCAAGUCGAACGGCAGCACGGGGCAACCUGGUGGCGAGUGGCGAACGGGUGAGUAAUGCAUCGGAACGUGCCAUUGAGUGGGGGAUAACGUAGCGAAAGUUGCGCUAAUACCGCAUAUUCUGUGAGCAGGAAAGCAGGGGACCGCAAGGCCUUGCGCUCUUUGAGCGGCCGAUGUCAGAUUAGCUAGUUGGUGAGGUAACGGCUUACCAAGGCGACGAUCUGUAGCGGGUCUGAGAGGAUGAUCCGCCACACUGGAACUGAGACACGGUCCAGACUCCUACGGGAGGCAGCAGUGGGGAAUUUUUGACAAUGGGCGCAAGCCUGAUCCAGCCAUGCCGCGUGAGUAAAGAAGGCCUCGGUGUAAG
rnacentral:rRNA from 1 species